rnacentral:tRNA from 1 species
GGAGCGGUGGCGCCCGGCGGCGCGGCCCCGGUUCGGACGCGGGCGAUUGGCUCCGGACUUGCGUUGGGACAGUCCCAUUCCGUCCCGCUACC